UUCGGACUGGGAGCGUACACAGGUGCUGCAUGGCUGUCGUCAGCUCGUGUCGUGAGAUGUUGGUUAAGUCCCGCAACGAGCGCAACCCCUGCUGCCAGUUGCCAACGGGUGAAGCCGGGCACUCUGGCGGGACUGCCAUCGACAAGAUGGAGGAAGGUGGGGGAUGACGUCAAGUCAUCAUGGCCCUUAUGUCCAGGGCGACACACGUGCUACAAUGGCCGGCACAGCGGGAAGCGAGGCAGUGAUGCCAAGCGGAUCCCUUAAAGCCGGUCUCAGUUCGGAUUGAAGUCUGCAACUCGACUUCAUGAAGCUGGAAUCGCUAGUAAUCGCAGAUCAGCCAAGCUGCGGUGAAUACGUUCCCGGGCCUU
rnacentral:rRNA from 1 species